AGGGUCUUACCUUUGUAGUACUAUUAUUACUUAUUAGUAUAAUCAUUUUCAAAGCAUAUGUCGAAGAGUAAAGUUCGAAUCAAUGGAGGAGGAUGAUUUUUCGGAACAUUCAAAAACGUUAUCCCCUGCGGAUAAAGAAAAACUUGAAAUUCAAAAUAGUCAUUUAAUUAGUGAACAUAAAGCAAAAAUGCUUGAAUUAGAAGCUCGAAAACAUUGGGAUUUAUUUUAUAAAAGGAACGAAAAUAAAUUUUUCAAAGAUCGUCAUUGGACCACGAGAGUAUCAAGAUCUAAUAAACGACGGUGGAACAUCGAGAAGGAUUUUAUUUGAAAUAGGGUGUGGCAUUGGGAAUUUUAUAUUCCCAUUACUAGAGGAAAAGUUGAAUUUCGAUGUUAUAGCGUACGAUUGUUCAUCUAGAGCUGUGGAAAUUUUAAAAAAUCAUCCGAAAUGCGAUCACAACUCGAUUAAAGUUAGCAUCUAUUUAUACCUCCACGUAUGUACCGAAAAUUUUGGAAUAUUUACAGGCUUUCCAAUGAUAUAACCACGCGAGACGUUUUUUCUAUAAUCCCGAUAAACAACGUGGAUAUAAAAUUAAUUUGAUAGGAUACAAAGAACGAUAUAGUUCAGAUAGCAAGGGAGCAUUUUUUGAUUUUUGUAUUUGAGGUUUUCUGAUGUGAUUAAGGCCUCGUAGUAAUAACAAUAAUGGAAAAGGAUUUAGUACUUUUUGAUAUUUUACAUUCGUCGGAUAACGAAGAUCUAGUGCAAACGUUUAAAGAAAUGAAGAAAACAAUGAGUUAAUAAUACAUCCAGUUUAUGGAAAAGUUACAAGAGUACAGCACAUCAAAAUAGAUAGAAAAUACAGAUGAAAUGGCACAGAAAAGUAAUAAAAUUGUACCUAGAUUUACACCAUAUCAUUGUGAAUUAAAUCCUAUAGAAUUGAUUUCGACUCAAGUGGAAAAUGAAGUGACUACCAAAAAGACUACUUUUAACAUAAAUGAUGUGAAGGAUCUUCUAAUGCGAGACUUGGAAAGUGACACAAACAUUUACUAACAAAAUUAUGUUGCACAUGUCAUAAAAAAAUAAGAUGAAAUGAUCAAGAUAAGGUUGUGGAUAAUCUAAUAGAACCGAUGAUCGUUUCUUUCUCUAGUCACAAUGUAAUUAAUAGUUCUGAUAUACUGUAAAACGUUUAUUUGUUAAAAAAAAUAGAGACCCAUAACUUUACUUUGUACUUAAGGAGAUGAAAUUAUAUUAGAUAUUGUUUUA